CUGUGUGGCCGGCCGCCAUCUUGGCGCCGUGGCGCGGGAUAUCUCCGGCCGGGGUGUCGCGGGUGGUGGGAGUCCGGCAGCGAACAGGCCAUGACAGAAUGGAAAUCUUAAGAUGAGUUGGCUAGCCAGCUGCUCUUGCUUCUCUGCCCAGAAAGGCCUGGACCUUUCUGCUCCCUUGCCUCAACUACCCAACGCUCAUGACAGGUCCCUCCAAAGUAAGCCUGCAGCGUCUUGGCCUUGGUGGGCCUUCCCCUCCUGUCUAUUAUUUUUUUAAUAUUGGUUAAUAAAUAGUAAUUAUAAAUGA